UACGGAGGGGGCGAGCGUUAUUCGGAAUUAUUGGGCGUAAAGGGCGCGUAGGCGGCCUUGUAAGUCAAAGGUGAAAUCCCUCGGCUCAACUGAGGAACUGCCUUUGAAACUGCAAGGCUUGAGGCCGGGAGGGGGUAGCGGAAUUCCCAAUGUAGCGGUGAAAUGCGUAGAUAUUGGGAGGAACACCAGUGGCGAAGGCGGCUACCUGGACCGGUUCUGACGCUGAGGCGCGAAAGCGUGGGUAGCGAACAGG
rnacentral:rRNA from 1 species